UACGUAGGGUGCGAGCGUUAAUCGGAUUUACUGGGCGUAAAGCGUGCGCAGGCGGCCCGUUAAGACAGGUGUGAAAUCCCUGGGCUCAACCUAGGAAUUGCGCUUGUGACUGGCGGGCUCGAGUACGGUAGAGGGGGGGUGGAAUUCCUGGUGUAGCAGUGAAAUGCGUAGAGAUCAGGAGGAACACCGAUGGCGAAGGCAGCCCCCUGGGCCUGUACUGACGCUCAUGCACGAAAGCGUGGGGAGCAAACAGG
rnacentral:rRNA from 1 species